rnacentral:rRNA from 1 species
GCGAAAGCAUGGGGAGCGAACAGGAUUAGAUACCCUGGUAGUCCACGCAGUUAACGUUGUAUACUAGUUGUAUGGGGUAUCGAUCCCAUGUGUACAGUAGCAAAUGUCUUAAGUAUACCGCACUGGGGAGUAUGCCGGCUAUCGGUGGCACUCAAAGGAAUUGACGGGGGCCCGCACAAUCGGUGGAGCAUGUGGUUUAAUUCGAUGAUACGCGAAGAACCUUACCUGGGCUUGACAUGCUGGCCGAAUGAUAAGAGAUUAUCAGGCUCUUCGGAGGGCUAUUACAGUUGAAGCAUGCCUGUCGUCAGCUCGCCUCGUGAGAUGAUGGGUUAAGUCCCGCGACGAGCGCAACCCUCAUGGUUAGUUGCCACCGGGUAGAGCCGGGCACUCUAUACAUACUGCCGGACGUAACCCGGAGGAAGGUGGGCGAUGACGUCAAGUCCUCAUGGCCUUUAUGUCUAGGGGUACACACGUGCGUACAAUGCUCGGUACAACGAGGAGCGAGCCCGCGAGGUGAUCCAAUCUCAAUAUCCGAUCUAGUUCGACUGGAGUCUGAACUGACUCCAUAAGCUGUAUCGCUAGUAUACAACUCAGCACGCUCCGAUGAUACGCUCCCGGGCAUGUACACACCGCCAUCACACCACCCGACUUGAUU